AAGUCGUAACAAGGUCUCCGUUGGUGAACCAGCGGAGGGAUCAUUACCGAGUUAUACAACUCCCAAACCCACUGUGAACCUUACCUCAGUUGCCUCGGCGGGAACGCCCCGGCCGCCUGCCCCCGCGCCGGCGCCGGACCCAGGCGCCCGCCGCAGGGACCCCAAACUCUCUUGCAUUACGCCCAGCGGGCGGAAUUUCUUCUCUGAGUUGCACAAGCAAAAACAAAUGAAUCAAAACUUUCAACAACGGAUCUCUUGGUUCUGGCAUCGAUGAAGAACGCAGCGAAAUGCGAUAAGUAAUGUGAAUUGCAGAAUUCAGUGAAUCAUCGAAUCUUUGAACGCACAUUGCGCCCGCCAGCAUUCUGGCGGGCAUGCCUGUUCGAGCGUCAUUUCAACCCUCGAGCCCCCCCCGGGGGCCUCGGUGUUGGGGGACGGCACACCAGCCGCCCCCGAAAUGCAGUGGCGACCCCGCCGCAGCCUCCCCUGCGUAGUAGCACACACCUCGCACCGGAGCGCGGAGGCGGUCACGCCGUAAAACGCCCAACUUUCUUAGAGUUGACCUCGGAUCAGGUAGGAAUACCCGC
rnacentral:rRNA from 1 species